GUUGUGUCCGCCGAAAACUAAAAAAUAAAUAUAUUAAAAAAAAAAAAAAAAAAAAAAAAGACCGCCUAGCUCCCGGGGCUCCUGCUGGCCAGGGACUUUCUCCCGUCUCCAGCCAGAUCACCUGCUCAUUUUGUUAUUGUUUGUAAAAAUUUGUAACCCAUCCCUGCGUGUUUGUUCCGAAGAUUGGGAAUCCUACAUUCAAGGCCUUUCUUUCACUUUGUUUUAUUCCGUUUUGGACGAACGAUGGGUAAACUGCCGCGCUUCGAGCCAGGCAUGUAAGAAGACAGCUAUGCCCGUUAGGCCCCCGACCCGACGCAGGCAUAAAUAGCUCCGGCUUCCGUUUGCCUACCUCUUUGUGCUGUGGACCGGUUGGUAGCAGUAUGAGUCCUUUCGGUCCGCGUGGCGUCUUCCGCGGAACCUGCCGUUCAGUGUCGGGAAGGCACAGGGCACACCUUUGGUGUAGCAACCCGCCUGCAGGUACGCGGGGGCCUUGCUGGGAAAAGGGGACCGUAGACUUGGGCUGAGCGGGAUGAAUACCAUUACAGACUAGAGUUUCUGAUGUCUGCGUGACGCCAAUGCUUAAAACUGACCCAGCCCUGGGCAGGGGGAACUCGACUGGAUUCCCUCUGGUCUUUGCUAACUCAUUGAUUUCUUCACAGGCUCCUGAUCCUCGCAGACGGGUCCUCAGCGCAGCAAUGCAUGAGAGUUCUGCAAGCCCAGCUAAGGGCAGUGCCCCUACCCAGAGAUUCUUUGCUAACCUGAAGACUGAAAACUUAAGGUUUUGGAAUCUACCCCAUGGGACACUGUUGGGAUGCUUAGGUUCCUGCUGUUGCAUCCUCAGGCUGUCAUGACAAGUGGAGAGCAACCCUUUCUCCCUGGUUACUAUGGUGAGUCAUUCACAUUGGCUGUCACCCUGAGGGUAAUAAUGACCUUAAAACUACCAGAUCUACUUAAUUCUUCCCCUCCAUCCCAUGUGACAACUUCCCAUCCAGCUUCAUGGUUUUAUUGCCAGUUGCCUGCAUGGUUCUAAUGUGUUCCUUUUGUGAAAUUUCAGGAUUUUGUUGACACAAAGGAUGCUCUGAUGUUGGACGGUUUCUAUGAAUAUAACAUCUUUCCUGUAUUAAACUGAGCAGCUAUGAAGCACAAAUAACUGGCUAAAAAUUUUGGGACCCUACCAUUAAGUAGGAUAUUUGCUUAUGUUUUCUCAUUUACAAGCACAUGAUUUUAUUGGAAAAAUUUCAAUAAAAUAUUUUAAAGCAAGUAAUGAAUGGAUUAU
rnacentral:lncRNA from 1 species